UCUUGCUGUGAAAAUUUGACAGUUUCUUUAGGUGACUGUCUGUCGGUCCUUUCCUCCUAAAUUAUUUUAAAAAUAUGUCAAAAAGAAAAGAUGACUUGCGUUGGUCUAAUUAUGGUUUAAGAAUAUUAAUUAAUACUGUAUCCCACCCAUUUGAAUACGCAAAAGUGUUAAUACAGAUCGGCUAUGAACCUAUUCCCCCUAGGCCUGGAAAAACUUUUUUUGGAAAACCAGCAUUGAAGUUACCAAAUAUUUUUGAGUAUG
rnacentral:lncRNA from 1 species